UACGGGGGGGGCAAGCGUUGUUCGGAAUUACUGGGCGUAAAGGGUUCGUAGGUGGCCAACUAAGUCAGACGUGAAAUCCCCUCAGCUUAACUGGGGAACUGCGUCUGAGACUGGAUGGCUUGAGUGCAGGAGAGGAACGCGGAAUUCCAGGUGUAGCGGUGAAAUGCGUAGAUAUCUGGAGGAACACCGGUGGCGAAGGCGGCGUUCUGGACUGCAACUGACACUGAUGAACGAAAGCCAGGGGAGCAAACGGG
rnacentral:rRNA from 1 species